GAUCGAACGGCGUGGCGGCGUGCCUAACACAUGCAAGUCGAGGCGAAGCGACCGUUACUUGAUUUCUUCGGGAUGAAAGUAUUGUGACUGAGCGGCGGACGGGUGAGUAACGCGUGGAUAACCUGCCUCAUACAGGGGGAUAACAGUUAGAAAUGACUGCUAAUACCGCAUAAGACCACAGCACCGCAUGGUGCAGGGGUAAAAACUCCGGUGGUAUGAGAUGGAUCCGCGUCUGAUUAGCUAGUUGGUAAGGUAACGGCUUACCAAGGCAACGAUCAGUAGCCGACCUGAGAGGGUGACCGGCCACAUUGGGACUGAGACACGGCCCAA
rnacentral:rRNA from 1 species